rnacentral:rRNA from 1 species
CAGCCGUAAACAAUGUGCGUUAGGUGUGUCGGUAACCACGCGUUACUGAUGCGCCGAAGAGAAAUCGUGAAACGAACCACCUGGGAAGUACGGUCGCAAGGCUGAAACUUAAAGGAAUUGGCGGGGGAGCACCACAACAGGUGGAGCCUGCGGUUUAAUUGGACUCAACGCCGGGAAGCUCACCGGAUAGGACAGCAGAAUGAUUGCCGGGCUGAAGACCCUGCAUGACUAGCUGAGAGGAGGUGCAUGGCGUCAGUGACU